GUGAGGGAGGGAGACAACGUAACAUUGACCUGCAGCACCACCUGCAGUCUGAGUACCAACCCCACCUACAUCUGGUACAGGAACUCACAGCCUCUGAGUAACUCACACACAACCAGCACCACUCUGUCCGUAGCCUCAGUUAGCAGAGUGGAGGAUGCUGAUUAUUACUCUUGUGCUGUAAGAGGACAUGAGGAUCACCCAUCACCUGUGUGUAUUCCGAGUUCCUGGAAUGUGACCUACACCCCACAGAGCAUCUGUGCAUUGAAGGGCUCCUCAGUGGAACUCCACAGCUAUUACACAUACCCUUGUGAUCAUACAGUCACAAAGGCAUUCUGGUUUACCACAUGGGUGGAUGGUACAGGAAAGGAGGAUUUGAGUAGGGAUAGACGCUAUCAGGGUCGUCUGGAUUAUACUGAAAAUAACAAGAAUAGCCACACUCUGAGCAUUAGAAACCUGAACUUUGGCGAUGCAAAAUCAUAUACCUUCAGAUUUUUAACUGACAAAGAGAGAGGAAAGUCUCGUGGUGAAAAUGUUGAGCUCACAGUUACAGAACUGCAAGUGCUGGCUGAUCCUGCAACAGUAAAGGAAGGAGAGAAAGUAACACUGACCUGCAAAACCACCUGCAGUCUGAGUAACAACCCCUCCUACAUCUGGUACAGGAACUCACAGCUUCUGAAUAACUCACACACAACCAGCAACACCCUGUCCAUAGCCUCAUUUAGCAGAGAGGAGAAUGCUGGUUAUUACUCCUGUGCUGUAAGAGGACAUGAGGAUCACCCAUCACCAUCUGUGUGUGUUCCGAGUGGCUGGAGUGUGACCUACAACCAACAGAGCAUUUGUGCAUUGAAGGGCUCCUUAGUGGAAUUCCACAGCUAUUACGCAUACCCUUGUGAUCAUACAGUCUCAAAGGCAUUCUGGUUUACCACACUCAUGGAUGGCACAGGAAAGGAGGAUUUGAGUGGGGAUGAGCAUUACCAGGGUCGUGUGGAUUAUACAGAAAAUAACAAAAAUAGCCACACUCUGAGCAUUAGAAACCUCAACUUUGGCGAUGCAAAAUCAUACACCUUCAGAUUUAUAACUGAUAAAGAAGGAGGAAAAUAUUCUGGUGCAACUGCUGAACUCACAG